UCCUACGGGGCGCAGCAGUAGGGAAUUUUCGUCAAUGGGCGCAAGCCUGAACGAGCAAUGCCGCAUGAACGAGGAAGGUCUUCGGAUCGUAAAGUUCUGUUGAAGGGGAAAAAGAGCGGAGAGAGGAAAUGGCCUCCGAUUGAUAUUACCCUUCGAGGAAGUCACGGCUAACUACGUGCCAGCAGCCGCGGUAAUACGUAGGUGGCGAGCGUUAUCCGGAAUGAUUGGGCGUAAAGGGUGCGUAGGCGGCCUGCUAAGUCUGGAGUGAAAGGUACCGGCUCAACCGGUACAGGCUAUGGAAACUG
rnacentral:rRNA from 1 species